GAUGAAGAACGUAGCGAAAUGCGAUAAGUAAUGCGAAUUGCAGAAUUCCAGUGAGUCAUCGAAUCUUUGAACGCACAUUGCGCCCGCCAGUAUUCUGGCGGGCAUGCCUGUUCGAGCGUCAUUUCAACCAUCAAGCCCCCGGCUUGUGUUGGGGACCUGCGGCUGCCGCAGGCCCUGAAAACCAGUGGCGGGCUCGCUGUCACACCGAGCGUAGUAGAUUUUCAUCUCGCUCAGGGCGUGCUGCGGGUUCCGGCCGUAAAAAGCCUUAUUUACCCAAGGUUGACCUCGGAUCAGGUAGGAAGACCCGCUGAACUUAAGCAUAUCAAUAAGCGGAGGA
rnacentral:misc_RNA from 1 species